GGGAUCUCUGCUGUAACGUGACAUUUUCUAAUGCUCCCAUAGGCUCUCAGAAGGCGCCAGAACGUUGAAUGAUGACUUUGCAGGCCAUGGCUGAAAAACAGUAGCGCAUUUGGAUAGUGGUCGAUCUGAGAACAAUGAGACUGGCGCACACGUGCACGAGAAGAGUCCAUUUUACUUUCUCUAUCUUUGAACGAAAACAACGACUCCCGGUCGGAAUAUUAUCGCUUUUUUUACGAGAAAAAUUGCAUAAAAAUUGAUUUUAAACAGCGUUUGACAUGCUUCGAAGUACGGUAAUGGAAUAUUUUGAAAUGUAUUGUCACGAAACGCGCCGGGCGCAUCACCCUUCAUUACCCUUCGGAUAGUGUCUUGAACGCACAACAAAACGCCGCUAUUUGGAUAUAACUAUGGAUUAUUUGAAACCAAAACAACAUUGGGUGAUGAAGUAGAAGUCCUGGGAGUGCAUUCUGAUGAAGAACAGCAAAGUGACCCUGUUCAUCAGAACGUCAUGGUGGGUGGAAAAAGAUGCUCUCUUCAGCAGCGGUGAAUAACCACAACCCUGACCUGAGCCCUAGGACCAUGCCUCAGGACUACCUGGCAUGAUGACUCCUUGCUGUCCCCAGUCCACCUGGCCGUGCUGCUGCUCCAGUUUCAACUGUUCUGCCUGCGGCUAUGGAACCCUGACCUGUUCACCGGACGUGCUUGUUGCACCCUCGACAACUACUAUGAUUAUUAUUAUUUGACCAUGCUGGUCAUUUAUGAACAUUUUAACAUCUUGACCAUGUUCUGUUAUAAUAUCCACCCGGC
rnacentral:lncRNA from 1 species